CUACGGGAGGCAGCAGUGGGGAAUAUUGGACAAUGGGCGAAAGCCUGAUCCAGCCAUCCCGCGUGAAGGAUUAAGGUCCUAUGGAUUGUAAACUUCUUUUCUCUGGGAAUAAAAAGUGGAGUUCACUCCGCCCUGAAGGUACCAGAGGAAUAAGCACCGGCUAACUCCGUGCCAGCAGCCGCGGUAAUACGGAGGGUGCAAGCGUUAUCCGGAUUUACUGGGUUUAAAGGGUGCGUAGGUGGCUUUAUAAGUCAGUGGUGAAAGCCCGGAGCUUAACUCCGGAACUGCCAUUGAUACUGUUUAGCUUGAAUCAAGUAGAGGUGGAUGGAAUAUUACAUGUAGCGGUGAAAUGCUUAGAGAUGUAAUAGAACACCAAUUGCGAAGGCAGUUCACUAUGCUUGCAUUGACACUGAGGCACGAAAGCGUGGGGAUCAAACAGGAUUAGAUACCCGAGUAGUCC
rnacentral:rRNA from 1 species